rnacentral:rRNA from 1 species
UACGGGGGGAGCGAGCGUUGUCCGGAUUUAUUGGGCGUAAAGGGCAUGUAGGUGGUCUUUUAAGUCAGUUGUUAAAACUAUCGGCUUAACCGGUAAUUGCAAUUGAUACUGGAGGACUUGAAUCUGAGAGGGGAUAGUGGAAUAUCAAGUGUAGCGGUGGAAUGCGUAGAUAUUUGAUAGAACACCUGAGGUGAAGACGACUAUCUGGCUCAUGAUUGACACUGAGAUGCGAAAGUAUGGGGAGCAAACAGGAUUAGAUACCCUGGUAGUCCAUACCGUAAACGAUGGGAACUAGGUGUCUGGGGACUAACCCCCUGGGCGCCGUAGCUAACGCGUUAAGUUCCCCGCCUGGGGAGUACGAUCGCAAGGUUGAA